rnacentral:rRNA from 1 species
UAAGGAAUAUUGGUCAAUGGACGCAAGUCUGAACCAGCCAUGCCGCGUGAAGGAUGAAGGUCCUCUGGAUUGUAAACUUCUUUUAUCUGGGACGAAAACGGGAUUUUUAUCUCAAUUGACGGUACCAGAGGAAUAAGCACCGGCUAACUCCGUGCCAGCAGCCGCGGUAAUACGGAGGGUGCGAGCGUUAUCCGGAUUUCCUGGGUUUAAAGGGUGCGUAGGUGGGCUUAUAAGUCAGUGGUGAAAUCUCCGAGCUUAACUUGGAAACUGCCGUCGAUACUAUAGGUCUUGAAUUAUCUGGAGGUAAGCGGAAUAUGUCAUGUAGCGGUGAAAUGCUUAGAUAUGACAUAGAACACCAAUUGCGAAGGCAGCUUACUACAUAUAAAUUGACGCUGAGGCACGAAAGCGUGGGGAUCAAACA